rnacentral:rRNA from 2 species
GCAGUCGAGCGAACUGAUUAGAAGCUUGCUUCUAUGACGUUAGCGGCGGACGGGUGAGUAACACGUGGGCAACCUGCCUGUAAGACUGGGAUAACUUCGGGAAACCGAAGCUAAUACCGGAUAGGAUCUUCUCCUUCAUGGGAGAUGAUUGAAAGAUGGUUUCGGCUAUCACUUACAGAUGGGCCCGCGGUGCAUUAGCUAGUUGGUGAGGUAACGGCUCACCAAGGCAACGAUGCAUAGCCGACCUGAGAGGGUGAUCGGCCACACUGGGACUGAGACACGGCCCAGACUCCUACGGGAGGCAGCAGUAGGGAAUCUUCCGCAAUGGACGAAAGUCUGACGGAGCAACGCCGCGUGAGUGAUGAAGGCUUUCGGGUCGUAAAACUCUGUUGUUAGGGAAGAACAAGUACGAGAGUAACUGCUUGUACCUUGACGGUACCUAACCAGAAAGCCACGGCUAACUACGUGCCAGCAGCCGCGGUAAUACGUAGGUGGCAAGCGUUAUCCGGAAUUAUUGGGCGUAAAGCGCGCGCAGGCGGUUUCUUAAGUCUGAUGUGAAAGCCCACGGCUCAACCGUGGAGGGUCAUUGGAAACUGGGGAACUUGAGUGCAGAAGAGAAAAGCGGAAUUCCACGUGUAGCGGUGAAAUGCGUAGAGAUGUGGAGGAACACCAGUGGCGAAGGCGGCUUUUUGGUCUGUAACUGA